UACGGAGGGGGCUAGCGUUGUUCGGAAUUACUGGGCGUAAAGCGCGCGUAGGCGGACCUGCAAGUCGGGGGUGAAAGCCCGAGGCUCAACCUCGGAACUGCCUUCGAUACUGCGGGUCUCGAGUCCGGGAGAGGUGAGUGGAAUUCCUAGUGUAGAGGUGAAAUUCGUAGAGAUCAGGAAGAACACCGGUGGCGAAAGCGCUCUGCUGGACCUUAACUGACACUGAGGGACGAAAGCUAGGGGAGCGAAUGGG
rnacentral:rRNA from 1 species